ACACACACACACACACACCCCCCAACACACACUCCCUGUCCCCUUUCUCCACCCUGCAAGCUAGUUGCAUUUAGCUCACAGAGCCUGGGCUGCGACUUGAAAGAGUUUAGGCAGCAACAGAGUGACCCUGGGGGUGCUCUUGACCGACAGCCGCACCCCCGGCGUCUAGGACCUCCGAGCAGGGAUGCAUCUGGAGGUCUAGGGAAGCACUUCCACCCCCUCCUCUCCUCAACCCUGGCAGGAUGGCUACUGCUGCUUCAAGACAGUGACGUUUCUCUCCGGUCAGCUGUCAGGAGCGCUGCUGGGUCUUACUGGGGAUCUGGCCAGCCUUGGGGGCCCUUGGAGCCCUGGCCCAGUGGAAGCUCGUGCCUGAGGAACAUGGAGGCCACGCUAAUGAGUUACUUCCAGAGUCUUCAAGAGUGCCAACUGGGACCAGGACCCCAGACCACAGCCCCCCACACCGUCCUGGACCUGGAUUCUGACUGUGGUUCCACUGUACCCCUCACCUUAAUCUCUGGUUCUAACCAGACCUGAGCCUAGACUUCCACUUUUUCCCUUACCCCUGUGAGGGCCUGGGAACACUAGGUGGGCAG
rnacentral:sRNA from 1 species